UACGAGGGGUGCAAGCGUUGCUCGGAAUUAUUGGGCGUAAAGGGUAGGUAGGUGGUCUCAUUUGUCUGGGGUGAAAGCCUUGAGCUUAACUCAAGAAGUGCCCCGGAAACGGUGAGACUGGAGUCCUGGAGAGGGUCGUGGAAUUCCCGGUGUAGCGGUGAAAUGCGUAGAGAUCGGGAGGAACACCAGAGGCGAAGGCGGCGACCUGGACAGGCACUGACACUCAAAUACGAAAGCGUGGGGAGCAAACAGG
rnacentral:rRNA from 1 species